rnacentral:rRNA from 1 species
AGUGAACGCUGGCGGUAGGCCUAACACAUGCAAGUCGAACGGCAGCACAGUAAGAGCUUGCUCUUACGGGUGGCGAGUGGCGGACGGGUGAGGAAUACAUCGGAAUCUACUUUUUCGUGGGGGAUAACGUAGGGAAACUUUCGCUAAUACCGCAUACGACCUACGGGUGAAAGCAGGGGAUCUUCGGACCUUGCGCGAUUGAAUGAGCCGAUGUCGGAUUAGCUAGUUGGCGGGGUAAAGGCCCACCAAGGCGACGAUCCGUAGCUGGUCUGAGAGGAUGAUCAGCCACACUAGAACUGAGACACGGUCCAGACUCCUACGGGAGGCAGCAGUGGGGAAUAUUGGACAAAGGGCGCAAGCCUGAUCCAGCCAUACCGCGUGGGUGAAGAAGGCCUUCGGGUUGUAAAGCCCUUUUGUUGGGAAAGAAAAGCAGCAGGUUAAUACCCCGCUGUUCUGACGGUACCCAAAGAAUAAGCACCGGCUAACUUCGUG